rnacentral:rRNA from 1 species
UACGUAGGGGGCUAGCGUUGUCCGGAAUCAUUGGGCGUAAAGCGCGUGUAGGCGGCUCGGUAAGUCCGCUCUGAAAGCCCGGGGCUCAACCCCGGGAGGCGGGUGGAUACUGUCGAGCUCGAGUCCGGAAGAGGCGAGUGGAAUUCCUGGUGUAGCGGUGAAAUGCGCAGAUAUCAGGAGGAACACCAAUGGCGAAGGCAGCUCGCUGGGACGGUACUGACGCUGAGACGCGAAAGCGUGGGGAGCAAACAGG